GCGCGAUGACGUAGUGGAUUAAUCCAAUACGUAAUGGAUGUUCAAACACGCAUGCGCAGUGAAUAUAAUGUUACGCGCAUGCGCGGUGGUGUGUUGUUGUUGAUGAACAAUCGCACGUGCUUUGGUAUUUCAAGAAGAAUCUGCCGAAAAACGAUGGAUUAUUUAACAACAGUGAUUGUAUAAAGAUUUGACUGGAUUUGGCAAGAUGCCCUUGCUCAUUAAAGAAGAUGGAGAUGUGGCUUUCCUCAGACUGUUGACAUGCCAGCUUUUUCACUAUGUUGUUAGUAAAGCAUCUUUCAGAGAACAGGCUCCUGUUGUCUGGCUUGACAGUGUUGUCAACUAGAACACAUUCUCCAUGGUGUAGAGAUUUAUUUACAGACUGUCCACCAGGUCGAGUUGGAGGAAGGGUGUCCCAGGGAUGAAUUGUUCAUCUAUUCUGCAUCAGUAAAGCAGUGGUGGCGUGGCACUGACCUUAAACUAUUUAAGAUCAAACUGUGACAAAAGCUUUACCUGACCUGACUGCAGUCAGUUAUAUGUGACCCUGCCUGUGAAAAAACAGGAUAAGUCUUGAAAUGUAAUUAUGAUAUAAUGAGCAUCAAAGUGUUAUUUUCAUUAAUUUCACAUUGAUUUUGACAUUUGACAUGAUUUUACUCAGUCAACCCCACACACCCAGCCAACUUUUUCUUUGAACUUUUGCCCUUUGGCCGGCGCUACAGAGCACUGAACACUAGACACAACAACAGUUUGUUCCUCAGGUUAUAUUAAACCUAAACAAUUAAAGCACCCAUAACUUCCA